rnacentral:lncRNA from 10 species
AGACAGCAGACCUUGUGCAAUGCACUCUCCCACGGGCCUCCCAUUCCAAUUUCCCCUUUUUAAGCCUUUCUCCCCAGCCUAAAGUUUUAAGAGGUUUCUGGAGGCGUAAGGAUUCUAUUUAUGUUUAAUGAACAAAAAAAUUAGUUUCAAUGAAAACUUUAUUUGAAAUGAUGAAUUCAAGCUGUUACCAGCCUCCCAAGUAAGAUGCCAGAGACUUCAAACACUGCUGUUGUUUCUCAAGGAAAAGAUCCAGUUAACAAGGAAUCAUUCUCUCUUCUUCAAUAGCUGCUUACGAAAUAAAAACAUCAGUAGGAGGGGAAGGAGGAAGGAAGGAGAAGAAAGAGGAAGAAUAGGAGGAGAAGAGGAAGAGAGGAAGAAGUCGUGAACAGCCCUCCUGCAUUUUGCAUCAGGUAGAAAAGUCAGUUGAAUGUUGGGAAGAACACAAAUAAAAAUGCAAGAGAACAGCUAUCUUCACAGAUCCCGGAACAAAGGACAAAGGAUAGAACUAAAAGCGCCCCCCACCCGCCGCCCGGCACCAAAGGAGUCAUAUCUGAUUACUUCCUUUGGAAAGGCUAAUCAGAAACUGAAAAGAAUGUAACUGUUUGUGUCUCACCUAUCUGUGACCUGGAAGCUCCCUCCCAGCUUUGAGUCUUCCUGCCUUUGCUUCCAGUUGUUCUGCCUUUCCAGACCCAACCAAUGUACUUCUUAUAUCUAUUGAUUGAUGUCUCAUGUCUCCCUAAAUGUAAAAAUCAAGCUGUGCCCCAACUGCCUUGGGCACAUGCUAUCAGGACCUCCUGAGGCUGUGUCAUG